AAUGUGAAUUGCAGAAUUCAGUGAAUCAUCGAAUCUUUGAACGCACAUUGCGCCCUUUGGUAUUCCGAAGGGCAUGCCUGUUCGAGCGUCAUUUCACCACUCAAGCCUGGCUUGGUAUUGGGCGUCGCGGCUCCGCGCGCCUUAAAGUGUCCGGCUGAG
rnacentral:rRNA from 1 species